GGACUACCGGGGUAUCUAAUCCCGUUCGCUACCCUAGCUUUCGUGCAUCAGCGUCAGAUAAGACCCAGUAAGCCGCUUUCGCCACCGGUGUUCCUUAGGAUAUCAACGCAUUUCACCGCUCCACCCUAAGUUCCGCUUACCUCUGUCUUCCUCUAGCACAGUAGUUUCGGGCGCAAUUCCUCAGUUAAGCUGAGGUAUUUCACACCUGACUUUCUGCACAGCCUACGCACCCUUUAAGCCCAGUAAUUCCGAAUAACGUUUGCAAGGUUCGUCUUACCGCGGCUGCUGGCAC
rnacentral:rRNA from 3 species